rnacentral:lncRNA from 7 species
UCUCCCACACAAAACCCACGAUGAGAGGAGUUGUCUUCUUCCUACAACAAUGGACGCACUUGCAUCUAGGAUUCUAGGUUGGUCGCGUAGGGGAGGCUGCGGCUUACAACACUGGCAGCGGCCGGGCUCGGCCAGCAGCGACUAAUUGGCUAGGGGCUCGACUGGGGGAGGGUGGGGGCUCAACGUCAGCGCCAUGGUGGACAAGGUCGCGCCUGCCGAGCUGGGUCGCGCACGGGCAAGAGGCAGAAAUACGCCGUACCGUGGGGGCCAGAGUUCACCGUAGGAGCUGCGCCCGGCCAUGGCCAUGGCUGACCGAGCGACCAGGGCGCUGCCUUGGCACUGAGCGCCGACAGGGAUAGAGAAGAAAGAGAGGCCAUGGUCAGGGGUACACGCCGGGGAUCCUCACCUUGGAGCUCAACGAAGAUGGCUGUUAGAAUUCUGGACUCUAAAAGAGAUGGAAGAACGCACGCACGCGAUCUUGACACAGGAGCGUUGGUGCUGUAAGCGGCAACAUUUUCUAUUGAUUGUAUUCACUAUAUAAAGGAAUUACAUGCUGCGUUACAAGGAAACAAAAUAACCAGCUAAUCCCGGCAUACUCGUGAUCAGUGGUUGCCAUCCCAACCUCCUAGGCCAUGCCGUUAUCAGUGGCUUGCCUCUAAU